rnacentral:rRNA from 1 species
AGGGAAAGAGGGAGGGAGGAAGAAGAAAGGAAAGUAGAAAGGAAGCACAGUAAGAGCUUGCUCUUACGGGUGGCGAGUGGCGGACGGGUGAGGAAUACAUCGGAAUCUACUUUUUCGUGGGGGAUAACGUAGGGAAACUUACGCUAAUACCGCAUACGACCUACGGGUGAAAGCAGGGGAUCUUCGGACCUUGCGCGAUUGAAUGAGCCGAUGUCGGAUUAGCUAGUUGGCGGGGUAAAGGCCCACCAAGGCGACGAUCCGUAGCUGGUCUGAGAGGAUGAUCAGCCACACUGGAACUGAGACACGGUCCAGACUCCUACGGGAGGCAGCAGUGGGGAAUAUUGGACAAUGGGCGCAAGCCUGAUCCAGCCAUACCGCGUGGGUGAAGAAGGCCUUCGGGUUGUAAAGCCCUUUUGUUGGGAAAGAAAAGCAGCAGGUUAAUACCCCGCUGUUCUGACGGUACCCAAAGAAUAAGCACCGGCUAACUUCGUA